rnacentral:rRNA from 1 species
GACAGAGGGUGCAAACGUUGUUCGGAAUUACUGGGCGUAAAGCGUGUGUAGGCGGCUUUGCAAGUCGGAUGUGAAAGCCCGGGGCUCAACCUCGGAAGUGCACUCGAUACUGCAGAGCUAGAGUUUCGGAGAGGUUGGUGGAAUUCUCGGUGUAGAGGUGAAAUUCAUAGAUAUCGAGAGGAACACCGGUGGCGAAGGCGGCCAACUGGACGAAGACUGACGCUGAGACACGAAAGCGUGGGGAGCAAACAGGAAUUAGAAACCCGAGGU